rnacentral:lncRNA from 1 species
GGGGAGAGUUAUCUAUAUCCUCUACUUUGGAGUACUUCUCUGAGCCCAAAGACAAGGGUAUCAAUGUCCACAGUUAUAUUCAUUAUUUCCUGGUUGAAUUCAACUAAACUGAACUUGUUAUGGUAGUUUGAGAAUUUGCCGUCAGCAACCACAAAAGAAACCAUUUUUUAAAAGUAGAGCACUGGCUUUGUCAUUGUGUUGGGACACUUUCAGAGUAAGUCCCGAAGACACUUCACGAUCUAGAGAAAUACUGACUGAAAUGACAACGCACUCAAUUGUGAUUCUUUGCUUUCUCUGUCAAAGAGAACUUCAACUGCAUUUGGGACUGAAGACAAUAAUACAACACAAGAGAGAGAGAAAGAAAAGGUUUGCUACUACUCUUUGCUAGGUUCUUCAGAGGAAUCACCUACUUCACACGUGUAACUAGCUCAAGUGGAGGGAAAAGUGAGGAAGCCAGAAGGCUGGUUUGUGCACCCUAACAGCUAAUGAGAGGAAGCACAGGUUUCCCAGGGCAGCCUCGUGGCAUUUCUCUGUGAAUAGGUAAAAAGGAGAUGAGAGUAAUUCAAGCUAAGGGAGCAAACAGCAGGGACAGAGCGUCCCUCCCUCCCUGUCUGUAGAAAUCAGCAGAUAGCACACCUGCUGCUGCUCAAGCUCCCUCUGCCAAGCAGAGCAGCACAGCUGCAAGACACUGCUUCUGGCCGGCUGCUCUGAGCUCUGCCUGUCUUCUGGGAUGGAGCCCCGCCCAAGGCAAGUUCAACUGGGUUCUUUGGCAGCUGAAGUCUACACGGACCCAGCAGGGAGCGGCGGAGAAAAAACAGAUUGCCAUGUGCCCCAUUCUCUGGCCUGUGGAGCAAACCAGCGACAGACCUCACAGAUAGAAAUCCACCAUUGGCCAUUCACAAAGAGAGUUCUCCUAGUAAGGGGAGUGAAUGUGAUGAUCCAUAUUUCCUGGAAAAUCUUCCUAGAGGCCUGAGAUGAUAAAUAUUGCCUGUUCCAGAACAGUUUUCAACCAUUCUCGUUUUGAGUGUUGCUCCUCUUCAGAUAUUAAGAAGAUGCAGCCAUGAACAGAAAGGUACGCUUUUAGUUUAUUUUUUUAAAUAAUGGACUGUUUUUCCCGUAAACUAUUGACAGACCUUCCUAAUGCCCUUGAUACCAAAAAGGAUGUAUUUGCAAAUAGUAGACUGGGUUCAGGGCUAUGCCAAAUGGGAAAGAGAUGUUACUUGACCAUUCAAGAAUCAAAUCCUUGACUUUGAUCAUCAGUUAAGUGCUAUUGAACUUGUCACUCAAGUGAGGGAGUAUUUCUAAAUGCCUAUAUCCUGGAAUACAGUUAGGGUAAAACUGAAACCAUUGUUAUAGAUUUAUAACUAAUCAUUUGAGACAUGUCUUUGAGACGUUCUUUCUGUCAGAGUCUGAGCAUGGAUGAUCUUGCAAGGUAUGUGAGAAUCAACUGAAUUAUUUUUCUUUAGAAUUAUCUAAAGAAAUACCCUUACCAUUCUUUGCCAAUUAGAAUGAUUAAAACAAACAAACAAAAACUGAUAACACCAAUGGAUGGAGAGGAUGUGGAGCAUAUGAAUGCUCAUAUAUUGCUGAUGGGAAUGAAAAAUGAUACCGUCCCUUUGGGAAAUAGUUUGGCAGUUUCUUAUAAAGUCAUACAUUCAAUGCAUGACUCAGCAGUUUUACUCCUUGAUAUUUACCCCCCUCCAAAAUGAAAAUUUAGUUUACAUAAACACCUAUACAUGAAUGGUUGCAGCAGCUUUAUUCAUAAUUGCCAAAACUUGGAUGCAAUCCAGAUGUUUUUCAUUUAGUGAUUGCAUAAGCAAACUGUGGUGCAUCCAUGCAAUUAAAUUGAUUCACUGAACAAGACAGAUGAAUCUCAGAUACUUUUUGCUGCAUGAAAGAAGCCAGACUCCAAACGCUACAUAUACAUACGUACUGUAUGAUUCAAUUUAUAUGACAUUCUGGAAAAGGCAAAGUAAGGAAGAACAGACCAAUGGUUGCCUGUGGUUAUGAGUGGGGGAGUGGUUGACCACAAAACAGCGAGUAAGGGAAUUUUGGGUGUGGUCAUACUGUUGUGCAUCAAAUCUCAUAGAAGUGUGCACCACAGAGAGUGAAUUUUACUCGAUGUAAAUUUUAAAAUAAAUAUAUAUAUAUACAGAAAGAAAUACUACA